UUAAGCGAACAAGCGUACACGGUGGAUGCCCUGGCAGUCAGAGGCGAUGAAGGACGUGCUAAUCUGCGAAAAGCGCCGGUAAGGUGAUAUGAACCGUUAUAACCGGCGAUGUCCGAAUGGGGAAACCCGGUGCACUUCGGUGCAUCAUCGUUAGCUGAAUACAUAGGCUAACGAGGCGAACCGGGGGAACUGAAACAUCUAAGUACCCCGAGGAAAAGAAAUCAACCGAGAUUCCCCCAGUAGCGGCGAGCGAACGGGGAACAGCCCAGAGCCUGAAUCAGCUUGUGUGUCAGUGGAACGGUCUGGAAAGGCCGGCGAUACAGGGUGACAGCCCCGUACACGAAGGCACACAGGCUGUGAGCUCGAUGAGUAGGGCGGGACACGUGAUAUCCUGUCUGAAGAUGGGGGGACCAUCCUCCAAGGCUAAAUACUCCUGACUGACCGAUAGUGAACCAGUACCGUGAGGGAAAGGCGAAAAGAACCCCGGCGAGGGGAGUGAAACAGAACCUGAAACCGUGUACGUACAAGCAGUGGGAGCCUUCGUAAGAGGGUGACUGCGUACCUUUUGUAUAAUGGGUCAGCGACUUAUAUUCUGUAGCAAGGUUAACCGUAUAGGGGAGCCGAAGGGAAACCGAGUCUUAACCGGGCGUUAAGUUGCAGGGUAUAGACCCGAAACCCGGUGAUCUAGCCAUGGGCAGGUUGAAGGUUGGGUAACACUAACUGGAGGACCGAACCGACUAAUGUUGAAAAAUUAGCGGAUGACCUGUGGCUGGGGGUGAAAGGCCAAUCAAACCGGGAGAUAGCUGGUUCUCCCCGAAAGCUAUUUAGGUAGCGCCUCGUGAACUCAUCUCCGGGGGUAGAGCACUGUUUCGGCUAGGGGGCCAUCCCGGCUUACCAACCCGAUGCAAACUGCGAAUACCGGAGAAUGUUAUCACGGGAGACACACGGCGGGUGCUAACGUCCGUCGUGAAGAGGGAAACAACCCAGACCGCCAGCUAAGGUCCCAAAGUCAUGGUUAAGUGGGAAACGAUGUGGGAAGGCCCAGACAGCCAGGAUGUUGGCUUAGAAGCAGCCAUCAUUUAAAGAAAGCGUAAUAGCUCACUGGUCGAGUCGGCCUGCGCGGAAGAUGUAACGGGGCUAAACCAUGCACCGAAGCUGCGGCAGCGACGCUUAUGCGUUGUUGGGUAGGGGAGCGUUCUGUAAGCCUGCGAAGGUGUGCUGUGAGGCAUGCUGGAGGUAUCAGAAGUGCGAAUGCUGACAUAAGUAACGAUAAAGCGGGUGAAAAGCCCGCUCGCCGGAAGACCAAGGGUUCCUGUCCAACGUUAAUCGGGGCAGGGUGAGUCGACCCCUAAGGCGAGGCCGAAAGGCGUAGUCGAUGGGAAACAGGUUAAUAUUCCUGUACUUGGUGUUACUGCGAAGGGGGGACGGAGAAGGCUAUGUCGGCCGGGCGACGGUUGUCCCGGUUUAAGCGUGUAGGCUGACUUUCCAGGCAAAUCCGGAAGGUUAAGGCUGAGGCGUGAUGACGAGGCACCACGGUGCUGAAGUGACAAAUGCCCUGCUUCCAGGAAAAGCCUCUAAGCAUCAGGUAACAUCAAAUCGUACCCCAAACCGACACAGGUGGUCAGGUAGAGAAUACCAAGGCGCUUGAGAGAACUCGGGUGAAGGAACUAGGCAAAAUGGUGCCGUAACUUCGGGAGAAGGCACGCUGACAUGUAUGUGAAGCCCCUGCGGGUGGAGCUGAAGUCAGUCGAAGAUACCAGCUGGCUGCAACUGUUUAUUAAAAACACAGCACUGUGCAAACACGAAAGUGGACGUAUACGGUGUGACGCCUGCCCGGUGCCGGAAGGUUAAUUGAUGGGGUUAUCGCAAGAGAAGCUCCUGAUCGAAGCCCCGGUAAACGGCGGCCGUAACUAUAACGGUCCUAAGGUAGCGAAAUUCCUUGUCGGGUAAGUUCCGACCUGCACGAAUGGCGUAAUGAUGGCCAGGCUGUCUCCACCCGAGACUCAGUGAAAUUGAACUCGCUGUGAAGAUGCAGUGUACCCGCGGCAAGACGGAAAGACCCCGUGAACCUUUACUACAGCUUGACACUGAACAUUGAGCCUUGAUGUGUAGGAUAGGUGGGAGGCUUUGAAGCGUGGACGCCAGUCUGCGUGGAGCCGACCUUGAAAUACCACCCUUUAAUGUUUGAUGUUCUAACCUGGCGCCAUAAUCUGGCGUGGGGACAGUGUCUGGUGGGUAGUUUGACUGGGGCGGUCUCCUCCCAAAGUGUAACGGAGGAGCACGAAGGUCAGCUAAUCCUGGUCGGACAUCAGGAGGUUAGUGCAAUGGCAUAAGCUGGCUUGACUGCGAGAGUGACGGCUCGAGCAGGUGCGAAAGCAGGUCAUAGUGAUCCGGUGGUUCUGUAUGGAAGGGCCAUCGCUCAACGGAUAAAAGGUACUCCGGGGAUAACAGGCUGAUACCGCCCAAGAGUUCAUAUCGACGGCGGUGUUUGGCACCUCGAUGUCGGCUCAUCACAUCCUGGGGCUGAAGUAGGUCCCAAGGGUAUGGCUGUUCGCCAUUUAAAGUGGUACGCGAGCUGGGUUUAGAACGUCGUGAGACAGUUCGGUCCCUAUCUGCCGUGGGCGCUGGAGAAUUGAGGGGGGCUGCUCCCAGUACGAGAGGACCGGAGUGGACGCAUCACUGGUGUUCGGGUUGUCAUGCCAAUGGCACUGCCCGGUAGCUAAAUGCGGAAGAGAUAAGUGCUGAAAGCAUCUAAGCACGAAACUUGCCCCGAGAUGAGUUCUCCCUGAGACUAUAAGUCUCCUGAAGGAACGUUGAAGACGACGACGUUGAUAGGCCGGGUGUGUAAGCGCAGCGAUGCGUUGAGCUAACCGGUACUAAUGAACCGUGAGGCUUAACCUU
rnacentral:rRNA from 1 species